rnacentral:rRNA from 1 species
UACGUAGGCAGCGAGCGUUGUUCGGAAUUACUGGGCGUAAAGCGCGCGCAGGCGGUUUUUCAAGUCAGUGGUGAAAGCCCGGAGCUCAACUCCGGAAAUGCCAUUGAAACUGUUAAACUUGAGGACGAGAGAGGUGAGUGGAAUUCCCAGUGUAGAGGUGAAAUUCGUAGAUAUUGGGAAGAACACCGGUGGCGAAGGCGGCUCACUGGCUCGUUUCUGACGCUCAGGCGCGACAGCGUGGGGAUCAAACAGG